UAGUGGGGUCCGCUCAAAUUCUCGCCAAAUCUAUAUUAUAUUUUUCCAUUGUCAAUACAUAAGGUGUUGAUGCCUAUAGAUCAACUACUCUUAAAUAAUAUAAUCAUAAUCAUUUUGGCUUUUAUUGUUCAUGUCAUUUUGUUGCUAUUGGCAUGUUACAUGAUAAACUAGUUGGAGAAAAACAUAAGCAAUAAAUGAUGAUUUUAGUUCUCAAGGAAGUUACAAGGGAACUUUAAUGCGAACAAAUGUUACAAGGUCAACUUUUCUCUUUAGGACAUGCUUUUUCUUUUUGCCGUAGAGUAUGCAAAACAUGUUUGGUUCAACAUUUUGGAUGUACCCUUCCUAAAAAGUUCUAUAGAAUGGAAAUGAUACCCAUACUUCCUAGGCUUAAACUUUGAGUGGAGAUGAGGUUUAGGUUGUAUGCUGUCCAAUUCUAAGAUAAUUUUAUUCAGAGCUAGUAUUUGAUUUGCAAUUAAAAUUGUCUAUAAUAUUUGUUUGGUUCAGCUCUAUAUGAUAUGUCGAAGACUGCUAGCUUUUAUUAUUAUUUUUGAUAAGUAAUCAAGAAGUUUUAUUCAUAAUAAUAGGCAAAUCCCAAGUACACAUGGAGUAUACAUGAGAAAUACUUAGCUAUAAUUUACAACUGAAAGAAGAAAGUCAUGGACAUUAAUUCCAUUACAAACAAUAGCCCCCACCCAAGAAAACAAUGUUUUAAA